rnacentral:rRNA from 1 species
UACGUAGGGUCCGAGCGUUGUCCGGAUUUACUGGGCGUAAAGGGCGCGUAGGCGGUCAGCACAAGUCAGUUGUGAAAUCUCCGGGCUUAACUCGGAAAGGUCAACUGAUACUGUGCGACUAGAGUGCAGAAGGGGCAACUGGAAUUCUCGGUGUAGCGGUGAAAUGCGUAGAUAUCGAGAGGAACACCUGCGGCGAAGGCGGGUUGCUGGGCUGACACGUGACGCUGGAUGCGCGAAAGCCAGGGGAGCGAACGGG